rnacentral:rRNA from 1 species
CGGAGGAAAAGAACCAACAGGGAUUGCCCCAGUAACGGCGAGUGAAGCGGCAACAGCUCAAAUUUGAAAUCUGGCUUCGGCCCGAGUUGUAAUUUGCAGAGGAAGCUUUAGGCGCGGCACCAUCUGAGUCCCCUGGAACGGGGCGCCACAGAGGGUGAGAGCCCCGUAUAGAUGGACGCCUAGCCUGUGUAAAGCUCCUUCGACGAGUCGAGUAGUUUGGGAAUGCUGCUCAAAAUGGGAGGUAAAUUUCUUCUAAAGCUAAAUACCGGCCAGAGACCGAUAGCGCACAAGUAGAGUGAUCGAAAGAUGAAAAGCACUUUGAAAAGAGGGUUAAAUAGCACGUGAAAUUGUUGAAAGGGAAGCGCUUGUGACCAGACUUGCGCCGGGCGGAUCAUCCGGUGUUCUCACCGGUGCACUCCGCCCGGCUCAGGCCAGCAUCGGUUCUCGUGGGGGGAUAAAGGUACCGGGAACGUAGCUCCUCCGGGAGUGUUAUAGCCCGGGGCGUAAUGCCCUCGCGGGGACCGAGGACCGCGCUUCUGCAAGGAUGCUGGCGUAAUGGUCAUCAGCGACCCGUCUUGAAACACGGACCAAGGAGUCAAGGUUUUGCGCGAGUGUUUGGGUGUAAAACCCGCACGCGUAAUGAAAGUGAACGUAGGUGAGAGCUUCGGCGCAUCAUCGACCGAUCCUGAUGUUUUCGGAUGGAUUUGAGUAGGAGCGUUAAGCCUUGGACCCGAAAGAUGGUGAACUAUGCUUGGAUAGGGUGAAGCCAGAGGAAACUCUGGUGGAGGCUCGCAGCGGUUCUGACGUGCAAAUCGAUCGUCAAAUCUGAGCAUGGGGGCGAAAGACUAAUCGAACCAUCUAGUAGCUGGUUACCGCCGAAGUUUCCCUCAGGAUAGCAGUGUUGUUCUUCAGUUUUAUGAGGUAAAGCGAAUGAUUAGGGACUCGGGGGCGCUUUUUAGCCUUCAUCCAUUCUCAAACUUUAAAUAUGUUAAAAACCCCUGUUUCCUAAUUUAACCUUGG